rnacentral:lncRNA from 1 species
AACCCAGGACCUACUUGGAAAGGCAUGCUGGGUCUCUUCCACAGACUUUAAGCUCUCCCUACACCAGAAUUUAGGUGAGUGCUUUGAGGACAUGAAGCUAUUCCUCCCACCACCAGUAGCCUUGGGCUGGCCCACGCCAACUGUGGAGCUGGAGCGGGAGGGAGGAGUACAGACAUGGAAUUUUAAUUCUGUAAUCCAGGGCUUCAGUUAUGUACAACAUCCAUGCCAUUUGAUGAUUCCACCACUCCUUUUCCAUCUCCCAGAAGCCUGCUUUUUAAUGCCCGCUUAAUAUUAUCAGAGCCGAGCCUGGAAUCAAACUGCCUCUUUCAAAACCUGCCACUAUAUCCUGGCUUUGUGACCUCAGCCAAGUUGCUUGACUAUUCUCAGUCUCAGUUUCUGCACCUGUCAAAUAGGGUUUAUGUUAACCUAACUUUCAGGGCUGUCAGGAUUAAAUGAGCAUGAACCACAUAAAAUGUUUGGUGUAUAGUAAGUGUACAGUAAAUACUUCCAUUAUCAGUCCCUGCAAUUCUAUUUUUCUUCCUUCUCUACACAGCCCCUGUCUGGCUUUAAAAUGUCCUGCCCUGCUUUUUAUGAGUGGAUACCCCCAGCCCUAUGUGGAUUAGCAAGUUAAGUAAUGACACUCAGAGACAGUUCCAUCUUUGUCCAUAACUUGCUCUGUGAUCCAGUGUGCAUCACUCAAACAGACUAUCUCUUUUCUCCUACAAAACAGACAGCUGCCUCUCAGAUAAUGUUGGGGGCAUAGGAGGAAUGGGAAGCCCGCUAAGAGAACAGAAGUCAAAAACAGUUGGGUUCUAGAUGGGAGGAGGUGUGCGUGCACAUGUAUGUUUGUGUUUCAGGUCUUGGAAUCUCAGCAGGUCAGUCACAUUGCAGUGUGUCGCUUCACCUGGCUCCCUCUUUUAAAGAUUUUCCUUCCCUCUUUCCAACUCCCUGGGUCCUGGAUCCUCCAACAGUGUCAGGGUUAGAUGCCUUUUAUGGGCCACUUGCAUUAGUGUCCUGAUAGAGGCUUAAUCACUGCUCAGAAACUGCCUUCUGCCCACUGGCAAAGGGAGGCAGGGGAAAUACAUGAUUCUAAUUAAUGGUCCAGGCAGAGAGGACACUCAGAAUUUCAGGACUGAAGAGUAUACAUGUGUGUGAUGGUAAAUGGGCAAAAAUCAUCCCUUGGCUUCUCAUGCAUAAUGCAUGGGCACACAGACUCAAACCCUCUCUCACACACAUACACAUAUACAUUGUUAUUCCACACACAAGGCAUAAUCCCAGUGUCCAGUGCACAUGCAUACACGCACACAUUCCCUUCCUAGGCCACUGUAUUGCUUUCCUAGGGCAUCUUCUUAUAAGACACCAGUCGUAUAAGGAGCCCACCCCACUCAUCUGAGCUUAUCAACCAAUUACAUUAGGAAAGACUGUAUUUCCUAGUAAGGUCACAUUCAGUAGUACUGAGGGUUGGGACUUCAACACAGCUUUUUGGGGGAUCAUAAUUCAACCCAUGACAGCCACUGAGAUUAUUAUAUCUCCAGAGAAUAAAUGUGUGGAGUUAAAAGGAAGAUACAUGUGGUACAAGGGGUGGUAAGGCAAGGGUAAAAGGGGAGGGAGGGGAUUGAACUAGACACAGACACAUGAGCAGGACUUUGGGGAGUGUGUUUUAUAUCUGUCAGAUGCCUAGAACAGCACCUGAAAUAUGGGACUCAAUCAUUUUAGUCCCCUUCUUUCUAUAAGUGUGUGUGUGCGGAUAUGUGUGCUAGAUGUUCUUGCUGUGUUAGGAGGUGAUAAACAUUUGUCCAUGUUAUAUAGGUGGAAAGGGUCAGACUACUAAAUUGUGAAGACAUCAUCUGUCUGCAUUUAUUGAGAAUGUGAAUAUGAAACAAGCUGCAAGUAUUCUAUAAAUGUUCACUGUUAUUAGAUAUUGUAUGUCUUUGUGUCCUUUUAUUCAUGAAUUCUUGCACAUUAUGAAGAAAGAGUCCAUGUGGUCAGUGUCUUACCCGGUGUAGGGUAAAUGCACCUGAUAGCAAUAACUUAAGCACACCUUUAUAAUGACCCUAUAUGGCAGAUGCUCCUGAAUGUGUGUUUCGAGCUAGAAAAUCCGGGAGUGGCCAAUCGGAGAUUCGUUUCUUAUCUAUAAUAGACAUCUGAGCCCCUGGCCCAUCCCAUGAAACCCAGGCUGUAGAGAGGAUUGAGGCCUUAAGUUUUGGGUUAAAUGACAGUUGCCAGGUGUCGCUCAUUAGGGAAAGGGGUUAAGUGAAAAUGCUGUAUAAACUGCAUGAUGUUUGCAGGCAGUUGUGGUUUUCCUGCCCAGCCUGCCACCACCGGGCCAUGCGGAUAUGUUGUCCAGCCCAACACCACAGGACCAUUUCUGUAUGUAAGACAAUUCUAUCCAGCCCGCCACCUCUGGACUCCCUCCCCUGUAUGUAAGCCCUCAAUAAAACCCCACGUCUCUUUUG